rnacentral:rRNA from 1 species
ACUCAAAGGAAUUGACGGGGGCCCGCACAAGCGGUGGAGCAUGUGGCUUAAUUCGUCACUAACCGAAGAACCUUACCAAGGUUUGACAUCCACUGUAAGUCCAUGAAAGUGGCACCCUCUGUAGCAAUACAGACAGUGAGACAGGUGUUGCAUGGCUGUCGUCAGCUCGUGUCGUGAGAUGUUGGGUUAAGUCCCGCAACGAGCGCAACCCUCAUCAGAUGUUGCCAGCGUAAAGUCGGGAACUCUUCUGAAACUGCCCGUGUAAGCGGGAGGAAGGUGGGGAUGACGUCAAGUCGGCAUGGCCCUUAUGCCUUGGGCUGCACACAUGCUACAAUGGUCGUUAACAAAGGGAUGCAAAGUCGCGAGGCAGAGCUAAUCUCAAAAAUACGGCCUCAGUUCGGAUUGCAGUCUGCAACUCGACUGCAUGAAGUCGGAAUCGCUAGUAACCGCAGGUCAGCUAAACUGCGGUGAAUACGUUCCCGGGCCUUGUACACACCGCCCGU